UACGUAGGAGGCAAGCGUUGUCCGGAAUUACUGGGCGUAAAGCGCGUGUAGGCGGUGGGACAAGUCUGCUGUGAAAGCGCCUGGCUUAACCGGGCGAGGUCGGCGGAAACUGUCCGACUCGAGGACGGUAGAGGGGGGUGGAAUUCCCGGUGUAGUGGUGAAAUGCGUAGAGAUCGGGAGGAACACCUGUGGCGAAGGCGGCCCCCUGGGCCGGCCCUGACACUGAGACGCGAAGGCGUGGGGAGCGAACGGG
rnacentral:rRNA from 1 species